UACGUAGGGUGCAAGCGUUGUCCGGAAUUAUUGGGCGUAAAGAGCGUGUAGGCGGCCCGGUUAGUCCGCUGUGAAAGUCCAGGGCUCAACCCUGGAAUGCCGGUGGAUACUGUCGGGCUAGAGUCCGGAAGGGCGAGUGGAAUUCCUGGUGUAGCGGUGAAAUGCGCAGAUAUCGGGAGGAACACCUGUGGCGAAAGCGGCGCACUGGACCAUUACUGACGCUGAGGAGCGAAAGCGUGGGGAGCGAACAGG
rnacentral:rRNA from 1 species